rnacentral:lncRNA from 1 species
UUCUAAACAUAGAUUCCUGAUCCUCAUCACAAGGGGAUUACAAGUUUGACGCGUAACAAGCUAGGUGGAAGCUUGAUGAGGGAGCGGGUCAAACGAAUCAAGAAGGAAAGGAAAAGCGUAGUUCGGAUGCGAGGAAAUAACAUGAGCUUGCAUCGCUUUAACUAAAAAGAUUUAAAGCAAAAGUUAUGUAAAUGGGUCAAUACUUUGAUCCGAGCCAGGUACUUUUUGGACGCCGGAAGACGAUCAAGCUCAACGAAGAACCGAACACGAUAAAGACACAUGCUUCCGCACAUCGCCUCGUUGUAAAUUUUUAACGACGAACCCGAUCACGUUAUGUAGAAUAACUUAUGAUUUGUA